CGAGGGUAAAAUGAUGAGAAUUUAUUUCUACAGUUAUCCCUGUCUGAAAAACAGUGUUGAGAAUGGUAAAUCUGAAUCCUCA
rnacentral:snoRNA from 1 species